UGGGACCGUGGGCUUUCCCACUGGUUCACAGGGUAAUCACGGGGGGCUUAGGGUUGUAGGCACCUGUUUCCACAGCCAUGCUGAUGCACAUGCCCACCCUCGGGGCAAUGGCAGUGCUAUGAGUGUCAGCCGGGAGAGAGUUUCUCACAGGUUGCAUACAAGAAUAGACAUGACUCCAUUAUCUCCCGGCUCACUGUGAAAAAGAAAAUCCUGACAUCAGAGUAAAGAAUGAGUUUGAACUCGCCAGGCCGAGCCCCCAGGAAGCCCCAUCCGUCUCUCCACACUUCUGCUGUCGCUCCCAUUGUGGGGGAGACAUUACUCAAACCACAGGCUGCAGACUCCCAGGUAACUGCAGCCAGCGGGAGGCUCCGCGGGACAACAAGUGUGCUCUUCAUCCACCUUUUUGUUGCGAUGGGAAGAAAUGCGCUCGCUUGGCUUUUCUCUGCCUGUGUUAACACACCCCGGUGGCAAAUGCUUUAUUGCUGGGCCUUGACCACACUCUUUGAGACUCACUGACUCUGCGGUCAUAAAUUCUUGAUAUAAACAAAUUCAUGGUUUUCCAUCUAUCCAAACCAACCAGAAAAGAUUACAUGUUCAUAUGUUUUUGUUGAAAGUGUAUUUAAAAUUUCGCUUACAGGAAUUGCCCCCUGGAGAAGACAACUUGAUUUUUCUCUUAGAUUUUGGGAGACUGAAUGUGCCAUCAGAUUCUGUCAAAGAUAACAAAGCCAUCCUCAACUUUGGGGCCGACAUAUAGACUCCACUGAACGCUCAGUCGCAGUGCUUUUUGUGUUAGAAAGACUCGUGGGAGAUAAGAAAAUGAAGUGUCUUUAUUUCUUUCCUCCACAAGUAGCUGGUUUCAGUGAGCGUUGGUGGCGUUGGUACCGUGGGUUCAUUAACAAACAUUCUAACGCUCGUCCUGUGUUUGACUCACCACGAAACCGUACACUAAAUCUGCUCCGUGUUCUUUGUAGAAUUCUGUAUGUGUCAUCUGGCUUGGAUUCACUAUCUGCGUUUUACAGAGAAGGAACAAAUUUGAACAAAAUAUAGAAGCUUUAAGCAACACACAUUGAACUCAAACAUUUAAGACUUAGAGUGAUCUUAAGCUCGUGUCUUUAUCUUGUCAUUUUCUGUGACGUGUGGUCUAUUUUGGAUGCUGAGUUUGUUCCACGUCCCCAGCAUCCAGAUAAUAUAAGGCGAGGAAUUCAGACUCUCCUAACAGAAAAAAGGAAAAUAACGUGAGAAAAUUGUACUGUUUUAUUUUAAC
ensembl:lncRNA